ACAAACUGGAGGAAGGCGGGGAUGACGUCAAGUCAUCAUGGCCCUUACGGCCAGGGCUACACACGUGCUACAAUGGUCGGUACAAAGGGUUGGUACCUCGCGAGAGGAUGCUAAUCUCAAAAAGCCGAUUGUAGUCCGGAUCGCAGUCUGCAACUUGACUGCGUGAAGUCGGAAUCGCUAGUAAUCGCGGAUCAGAAUGCCGCGGUGAAUACGUUCCCGGGCCUUGUACACACCGCCCGUCACACCAUGGGAGUUUGUUGCACCAGAAGUAGGUAGUCUAACCGCAAGGAGGACG
rnacentral:rRNA from 1 species